GAUGAACGCUGGCGGCGUGCCUAAUACAUGCAAGUCGAACGCGAAAGGUCUGAAGCCUUCGGGCGGAGGGCCGAGUAGAGUGGCGAACGGGUGAGGAACACGUAGGUGACCUGCCCCGGAGAGGGGGAUAACCGUCGGAAACGGCGGCUAAUACCCCAUAAGCUCACGCGAGUUAGAGGGCGUGUGAGAAAAGCUCCGGCGCUCCGGGAGGGGCCUGCGGCCCAUCAGCUAGUUGGUAGGGUAAAGGCCUACCAAGGCGAAGACGGGUAGGGGGCCUGGAGAGGGUGGUCCCCCACAUGGGAACUGAGACACGGUCCCAACUCCUACGGGAGGCAGCAGUAAGGAAUAUUGCACAAUGGGCGCAAGCCUGAUGCAGCAACGCCGCGUGCCCGAGGACGGCCUUCGGGUUGUAAAGGGCUUUCUGGCUGAAGAGGAAGGACGGUAGGCCAGGAAUAAGCGUCGGCUAACUACGUGCCAGCAGCCGCGGUAAAACUAGCGUACU
rnacentral:rRNA from 1 species